GCCUUGGUGGUGCAGUGGUAAUAGCACGCGUCCCUGAUAUGGAUGAAACGCCAGUUCAGUUCCCAACUGAGGACG